rnacentral:misc_RNA from 1 species
GCGGGCGCGUCGGCCAUGAGCGAGUUGCCGGGCGACGUGCGGGCGUUUCUGCGGGAGCACCCGAGCCUGCGGCUCCAGACGGACGCCCGCAAGGUGAGGUGCAUCCUGACAGGUCACGAGCUGCCCUGCCGCCUGCCGGAGCUCCAGGUCUACACCCGCGGCAAAAAGUACCAGCGGCUGGUCCGCGCCUCCCCGGCCUUCGACUAUGCAGAGUUCGAGCCGCACAUCGUGCCCAGCACCAAGAACCCGUAGGUGGUCCGCGGCGGCGCGGGGAGGCCCAGGGCAAUUAGGACAGCCCCUCCGCUGGACUCCGCCAGUGCUGCAGCCCCUACUCUUUCAGAGUUGGGAGCCCUGGGACCCAGGUGGGCGCCCGGGUGCUGGAAUCACCUGCGGUCCCAGCGGCGAGGCCUCUUGGCACCAGUUGUUCUGCAAACUCACCCUGCGGCACAUCAACAAGUGCCCAGAACACGUGCUGAGGCACACCCAGGGCCGGCGGUACCAGCGAGCUCUGUGUAAAUAUGAAGAAUGUCAGAAGCAAGGGGUGGAGUACGUGCCUGCCUGCCUGGUGCACCGGAGGAGGAGGAGGGAGGACCAGAUGGACGGUGACGGGCCUCGCCCGCGGGAAGCCUUCUGGGAGCCCACAUCCAGUGAUGAGGGGGGAGCUGCAAGUGAUGAC